AACGCACAUUGCGCCCGCCGGUAUUCCGGCGGGCAUGCCUGUUCGAGCGUCAUUUCAACCCUCAAGCCCAGCUUGGUGUUGGGGCACCCGGCCGCCUGGUCGGCCCGGGGCCCUCAAGUGUAUCGGCGGUCUCGUCGGGACUCUGAGCGCAGUAACUCGCGGUAAAACGCGCCUCGCUUGGUCCGUCUCCGGCGGGCUCCGGCCGCUAAACCCCCCUCUCUCCCAGAGUUGACCUCGGAUCAGGUAGGAUUACCCGCUGAACUUAA
rnacentral:misc_RNA from 1 species